UUUUACGAGUUCAUAACCCAACUCGUUGUUUUUCGGGAUCACAACGAACCCAGUCGGUUUUCCAAGGAUCACCAACCACAACCUUUACAAUCUGGUUGUUUUACGAGUUCACAACCCAACUCGUUGUUUUCCGGGAUCACAACGAACCCAGUCGAUUUUCAGAUGAAUCAAUCGAAACUUUAACCCUUGCUGGAUUAAACCCAAUCCAGCAACUUCCAAUCAAGGCUUGGAAGUGCCUUUGCAAGAUAUAACAAUAAGAAUGAUCACAGCAGCAAGGAAUCCAACCAAACGAUGUGCUGUGACAAAAAUACAGCCUCAAAAAUAAAAAGAUAAAACUCUAAUGAACAAGGCUGAAGUUGAUGAAGAUGAAGGUUGCUGAUGAAGAUGAUGAAGCCUUAAUGCAGAGCAGCAACUCCUCUUGAUGUAGUUGAUGAGAGAUGACUGAUUUCCUCACAAGGAAGAAGAACUUGAAGAUUCAAAGUGAGGAUGAUUGCUGUGUAUUCUUCUCUAUUGUAAAAAUGUUAUUCUUCUUGUAUUCUUGUAUUCUUG
rnacentral:lncRNA from 1 species